CGAUGUUUACGGGUAUAGUAGCGCAAGACUUUAGAAGAGACAGAAUCGUCCUUCUCUCUGUUGAUAACAAUAUCGCGGAAGUGAAAGUGAAGGAAAAAAUUCGUCGAAGCGUCAAUUUAUCGUGACGCGUACGUAUAGUGGUCGGUUGAUAAGGUGUAUUUUUAAAAGUACCGAUGAAGCACGCAAUCAAAAUUACAAUAAGAAAAUUCCGGUCGCAGUCACGUUGUCGAGCUUUGCGCAGUUGCCAGAUGACUCUACAUUGUGCAUUAUGCGGACGACAGUGACGCCUUUCUUGGAGAAAUAAUGAAACUCUGGUCCAAGCUCUUAUUAUUAACCGAAAUCGGAGGCACCACAAGCGUAAUGUGUAGCCUACAAACUUUCUACAAAACUUAAUCAACCGAAAAGUCAACUACAAGCACAGGACUGAUCAUAAGAAUCUUCUACAUCGAUACCGUGUAAGAAAACCCAACGACAAUAACAUGUUUAAGUUAUCGCAUAGUGGCAAGAUGGUGCUGUUAUUUAUUUUCCCGCCAAAUUCUUCCAUUCGUCGCCGUUUGUGACGGCGUAAACGGGACGCGACUUUCAUUUAUCUUGAUUAAUCUGUUUGUCGCCCGCGUUGAGAUUAAAUUAAAUAUUUGCAUAUUUAUCAAGCACAAGUAUACACAAUGUAUAUCGUUGAAAAUGUGAAGCAGUUCGGUGGAUCGUACAUUGUAUAUCGCUUUGAUAUAUGACUCUUAUCGAGACUUGAGAAUAAAAAAAAUUUCAGCACCGGA